rnacentral:rRNA from 1 species
AUUGAACGCUGGCGGCAGGCCUAACACAUGCAAGUCGAGCGGGGUUUUCGGACCUAGCGGCGGACGGGUGAGUAAUGCGUAGGAAGCUGCCCGAUAGAGGGGGAUACCAGUUGGAAACGACUGUUAAUACCGCAUAAUGUCUACGGACCAAAGUGUGGGACCUUCGGGCCACAUGCUAUCGGAUGCGCCUACGUGGGAUUAGCUAGUUGGUGAGGUAAUGGCUCACCAAGGCGACGAUCUCUAGCUGGUUUGAGAGGAUGAUCAGCCACACUGGAACUGAGACACAGUCCAGACUACUACGGGAGGCAGCAGUGGGGAAUAUUGGACAAUGGGCGCAAGCCUGAUCCAGCCAUGCCGCGUGUGUGAAGAAGGCCUUCGGGUUGUAAAGCACUUUCAGCGAGGAGGAAGGGUAGUGUGUUAAUAGCACAUCAUUUUGACGUUACUCGCAGAAGAAGCACCGGCUAACUCUGUGCCAGCCGCCGCGGUAAAAC